CAGCCCUAUAGGAGACACCUCCAGAGAAAGUAACAACUCUCAGUUGAUUAGCUGAGAAUAAACAGAUGCUUUUACAGCUCGCAUUGGUGGGAAGAUCUGGCACAAAUGAAGUAUCUAUAAGGAGCAGCAGAGUCAAGGUGGUGAUCCUGUGGAAGAAUAACUGAAACCUGAUAUACUUGACAGCAGAAAAUAUAAAGCAAAUCGAAAAGGAGAGAGUGUGGAGAUAAAUAAGGAAAUGAAAGAACUGAUGAAGUCACUUGGAUUAAAAAACCUGGGAGUAAGGGCUUUGUUUAUGAUUGAACUUAAGAGAGAAUUGAAGGACCACCUACCUUUGAUGUUAACAAGAAAGUAAAGAGGAAACAUAUUUAGAGAUACCCUUUGGUGAAAAACACCGAGAUGGAUGUGUCAUUUGAUGCAUCACAUUAUUUAUUCAACAAACUCUUAGUGAGAACUUACUGUGUA
rnacentral:lncRNA from 1 species